UUGAAAGUGACUACAUCGG
rnacentral:siRNA from 1 species